CACCCUUAUUCUUGUUUACGGCCGUAUCGCUUUCGUACGAAAGCAGCAGCGGCGUACGAAUGCGAUACGAACGCAUACGAAUACGGUUCGUUCUAACCAAUUCGAGUUUUCGAACAUCGUUGCUUUCGUACGAACGUGCCAUUCUUGUUUACGUACGUAUGCGUAUCCGUAUUCUUUUUGCUCUCGUUCGCAAACGUCAGUCAAAAGUUGCGAAUCGCUAUACGAAUCGCCGGCGCCGGUAGUUUUAUCUCGUUUUUCUACUGUUUGGUGUUAGUUUUUUGACAAAAUUGAAUAAACCGAAGAAUUUGUGUUGUUUCGUGAAGUAUGAGCAACAUUCUGAAGAACAUUUGUGAAAAUCCAUUUUCAAAAAUCUCCAGUUUUGUAUACGGAAACCGUUUGUCGAAAGUUGCGAAUGGCUACGAAUCGCCGUCGCCACGGUUUUUUUUUCUCGUUUGUUCUGCGGUUUUGUGUCAGUUUUUUAGAGAAAAUAAAUGGAACGAAGACCUAGUUAAAUAAAGUUAGUGCAACAUUUUCAAGGAAAAAAGGUGACAAAUGAUUUUUAAAAGUCCAGUUAGGAAACGAAACAGCAGUCGAAAGUUGCAAAUGACUAUACGAAUCGCCGUCGCCCCAAUUUUUCUGGUUCACUUUCUGUGAAAAGUUUUCUGGCCAUAUCAACAAAAAGUCAACUACCAGGCAGGUUCUGAUUAGCUCAAAAAGUGGAUGGGUAACAGAACACAGGAUAAUUAUUUUAACAUUGUUCAAUUGACACCGAUGCCGAUUUGUAUACUAGGAAUAAGCGAUCAAGAGCUACAGGAAAAUGCAUGAAAUCACGACUCUUCCUCCGGCAACUAUUUAUACAUGCUGUGAUUGAUGACUUUUUUGGACGAAUUAGGCUGUUUCCAACCAUUUUGAAAUUAGCAACAAAAAAGGGGAUCAAGUAUGUAACAUAGCAACCGAUUCCUUCGGAUGUCUCAUAAAACCGCAAGCUACCUUUGAACGCAAUCUCGUCGAAUUAAUAAAAUUAGGUUAUUGAACUGCUGCAUGCUACAAAGAAGAGUUUUAAAAGUUGAUUACGUGUGAUGUUGAUCAAAAAUACCAGUGACGUAUAAUUUAAUUUUAUUUUAUCAGAAAAAUGAUUGAACAAGUAUGCAAAACUAAUGUGAAUAAAUUUUAUUGAUUUUCACAACUGAUUGUUCUUUUUAUCUAGUUAUGAUUUUGAUAGUUUUGAAGCGACGUUAUGAAGCAUUUCGUAUUAUCUCCCGAGAGCGUAAAUUGUUGAUAGUGGUGAAUGGCAUAGGAACGGAAUUGCAAGUUCGAGUUUCUUUCUUGCUUAUUCUGCUCUAAAUUCGAAAUAUGAAUACUUAUAUAUUUUUCAAUUACUAAAAUCACAACAGGUUUCAAUCCUUAUGGACAAAAAUUAAAUAUUCAAAAAGCAACAAUUAAAAAAUCAAGGGGUACCCAGACACGGUACUAAAUGGUAAAUGGUACUGUGCCUUUCAAACUUUGCGAGCAAUUCCACAUAUAACGGGUGACUGUUUUAACCGACCAUUUUUGAUGUGGCUGAAACUUUGCAUGGAUUUGUCUAUGAACAAAAGAUGCCAUUUUGUGCCAUUCGUUUAUUUGAACCACGACCCAUUUUUAAAAAGCUAUGUAGAAAAGGUAUUGAUGAUUACAAAUAUUUUUAAAACAAAAACGGUUUGUUUGAUCGGUGUGACGUCUUCGGCAAAGUUGUAACAAAAAAGUUCAAAUUUUCCAGAAAUAUUAAAAAUGAAAACCAGAAAGGUUAGUUUGAUUGGUAUAACAUCUUCAGCAAAGUUGUACACUAUAAUUUUGUCCUUAAAAAAAGAAUGUUUAAGAAAAAAAAACACAAAAAAUAUACAGUCAUCCCAGUAUU